CAAGCCGGUAGUAGGUCACCGCUUCCAUCUCACCGGCGACUGGGGCGGCGUGCUGGACUGCGAGGUCCGCGAGGUCGAACCGAACCGGGUGCUUUCCUACACUUGGAACUUUGCGCACGAGGAUGCCGCCUUCAACCUCGAGAGCGUGGUGACGUUCACGCUCACACCGACCGGCGGCGGCACGCAUCUGCGCAUGGAGCAGGCGGGCUUCCAGCCGGAUCAGAAGCAGGCUCUCGGCGGUGCCAAGGCCGGCUGGCAGCAGUUCUUCGCGAAGCUGGAGCAGUCCCUCACUCGGAUGAACUGAUUUUUCUACGCACGCUCAACCUGAAGAGGAGACCUCCAUGAAUUGGAACGUCUGGAUCCGGCAAUCCCACCGCUGGCUGGCGCUCGCCUUCACGCUCGGUUUCAUCGUCAAUCUGGUC
rnacentral:misc_RNA from 1 species